AGUGAACGCUGGCGGUAUGCCUAACACAUGCAAGUCGAACGGCAGCACAGUAAGAGCUUGCUCUUACGGGUGGCGAGUGGCGGACGGGUGAGGAAUACAUCGGAAUCUACUUUUUCGUGGGGGAUAACGUAGGGAAACUUACGCUAAUACCGCAUACGACCUACGGGUGAAAGCAGGGGAUCUUCGGACCUUUCGCGAUUGAAUGAGCCGAUGUCGGAUUAGCUAGUUGGCGGGGUAAGGGCCCACCAAGGCGACGAUCCGUAGCUGGUCUGAGAGGAUGAUCAGCCACACUGGAACUGAGACACGGUCCAGACUCCUACGGGAGGCAGCAGUGGGGAAUAUUGGACAAUGGGCGCAAGCCUGAUCCAGCCAUACCGCGUGGGUGAAGAAGGCCUUCGGGUUGUAAAGCCCUGUUGUUAGGAAAGAAAAGCAGCAGGUUAAUACCCCGCUGUUCUGACGGUACCCAAAGAAUAAGCACCGGCUAACUUCGUG
rnacentral:rRNA from 1 species